CGUAAGUUAUUGAAUCCAAGUAUGAACUGACAAUAUGAGAGCGCAUAUCGCAUUAAACAUAUCGUCUAAUGUUUUAAUUAGACGCUGCGUUGUCGCGCAUCUAAUGACAUAACUAGAUCGAUUUUUCUCUAUGUACAUUCGUACACUAUUUUCCAAAAUAUGAGCUGGAUUUUACUACGAAAGAAAACGCUCUGAUAAAUUAACAGACGUUUCAUGUUUCAGUUUUGAUUCUGUGUUGAUUUCAUGGAAAUGUGAAUUGAAUGUAGUGUAGCUUCAGGAUGCUAAUCAAAUUAUAGAUAAGUCAGUGACUAAGAUGCAAAGCUACACAACACCAACUAUCCUUUGUUCUUUGAUAAUGGAUGAAGAUGGGAGUCUUAAUUAAUCAAUGAAUUGUUACAUGCAUAUAUUUAAAUCAUUUUAACCAAAGUAAUUACAUUUGGAGCACUGCUGCUCACCGUCCACAUCCAAUUGCGCCACUGCAUGCAGUACAUUUAUACGCAUUUACAUGCAGUUAUAUUAACAUCACACAAUCAUUGUUUCUUAUUGUAUAUCAGUGAGAUUAUACGAAAUGGUUAGUAGAUAGGUCAAUUAAAUUUAUUUUUUCUUCUAUAGUUUUAAAGUUUCUGUUUCUUAUUUUGCAGUCUUAUUGAAUUAUGACGUCACAAAUGGAAAAUAGUUCAUAUUUUUGUUGCAUAUAGGCUGAGAUAAAUUAGAUUUUUCAUACGCCUUUAUUAGUGUUCAAUAACGUAUUGUAAGAAAAAAAUUCAUAUAACAACAAAUUCCCACUUCUGACAUAACUUAUGAUUGUAGUAGGAAAAUGGGAAUCUUGAAUUGUAUAUUUCUACGUUUUGUAUUAUUUUUUAAUAAAUAUUGAAGAAAUAUCACAUGAAUUUUGUUCAUUGAAAACUACGCAACGAAGAAAUAGGCCUCACAAUAACUUCUUACUAGUUGAUGGAAUAUUACAAACUUUCUGUAUCAAAAUAACGGUAUAUUUUUUAACUAUGUUAAUUAACUAUGUUAAUUAAAUUUAAAGUUACACUUCUCAUCAACUUCACAUUCGUAUUAGUUUCUUGUAUUAAGUUAUGAUCUUGUAUUAAGUACGAUAUUUGAUAUAGCAAUAAUACAUAUCUCAAAAAAGAAAAAAUUUGAUGGGAUCUGUGUUGUGUUCAUAGACAUUCGCGAAAUGAAUUGUAUAUGUAAGAAAUAAG